rnacentral:tRNA from 1 species
UAAUAAGAAGCAAAAUUGCACUCAGUUUCGACCUGAACAUAGAUGAAUAUUCAUCCUUAUUAA